rnacentral:rRNA from 1 species
CGCCGGCGAGUGGCGAACGGGUGAGUAAUGCAUCGGAACGUACCCAGUAGUGGGGGAUAACUUACCGAAAGGUAAGCUAAUACCGCAUACGCACUGAGGUGGAAAGCAGGGGACCGCAAGGCCUUGCGCUAUUGGAGCGGCCGAUGUCGGAUUAGCUAGUUGGUGGGGUAAAGGCCUACCAAGGCGACGAUCCGUAGCGGGUCUGAGAGGAUGAUCCGCCACACUGGAACUGAGACACGGUCCAGACUCCUACGGGAGGCAGCAGUGGGGAAUUUUGGACAAUGGGCGCAAGCCUGAUCCAGCCAUGCCGCGUGAGUGAAGAAGGCCUUCGGGUUGUAAAGCUCUUUCGGCCGGGAAGAAAUCGUGGUGGCGAAUACCUGCCAUGGAUGACGGUACCGGACUAAGAAGCACCGGCUAACUACGUGCCAGCAGCCGCGGUAAUACGUAGGGUGCGAGCGUUAAUCGGAAUUACUGGGCGUAAAGCGUGCGCAGGCGGUUGUGUAAGACAGGCGUGAAAUCCCCGGGCUCAACCUGGGAACUGCGCUUGUGACUGCACGGCUAGAGUACGGCAGAGGGGGGUGGAAUUCCACGUGUAGCAGUGAAAUGCGUAGAGAUGUGGAGGAACACCGAUGGCGAAGGCAGCCCCCUGGGUCGAUACUGACGCUCAUGCACGAAAGCGUGGGGAGCAAACAGGAUUAGAUACCCUGGUACUCCACGCCCUACACGAUGUCGACUAGUUGUUGGAGGGGUAAACCCUUUAGUAACGUAGCUAACGCGUGAAGUCGACCGCCUGGGGAGUA